rnacentral:rRNA from 1 species
UACGGAGGGUGCAAACGUUGCUCGGAAUUAUUGGGCGUAAAGAGCUCGUAGGCGGCUUGUCACGUCGGGUGUGAAAGCCCGGGGCUUAACCCCGGGUCUGCAUUCGAUACGGGCUGGCUAGAGUGUGGUAGGGGAGAUCGGAAUUCCUGGUGUAGCGGUGAAAUGCGCAGAUAUCAGGAGGAACACCGGUGGCGAAGGCGGAUCUCUGGGCCAUUACUGACGCUGAGGAGCGAAAGCGUGGGGAGCGAACAGG